GACGAACGCUGGCGGCGUGCCUAACACAUGCAGGUCGAGCGGGGUUGAGGCGAGAGGUAACUCGAACUUCUACCUAGCGGCGGACGGGUGAGUAACGCGUGGGCAACCUGCCUCAAGGUUUGGGAUAACAGCCCGAAAGGGCUGCUAAUACCGGAUAUGCCUAUGGCCUCGCAUGGGGCUAUGAGCAAAGGGGAAACCCGCCUUGAGAUGGGCCCGCGUCCCAUCAGCUAGUUGGUGAGGUAACAGCUCACCAAGGCGACGACGGGUAGCCGGCCUGAGAGGGUGACCGGCCACACUGGGACUGAGACACGGCCCAGACUCCUACGGGGGGCAGCAGUGGGGGAUCUUGCACAAUGGGCGAAAGCCUGAUGCAGCGACGCCGCGUGAGCGAAGAAGGCCUUCGGGUUGUAAAGCUCUGUCUGGAGGGACGGAACAAAAUGACGGUACCUCCGGAGGAAGCCACGGCUAACUACGUG
rnacentral:rRNA from 1 species